rnacentral:rRNA from 1 species
GGAAUAUUGCGCAAUGGGGGGAACCCUGACGCAGCAACGCCGCGUGAGUGAAGAAGUAUUUCGGUAUGUAAAGCUCUAUCAGCGGGGACGAAAAAGGACGGUACCCGCAGAAGAAGUCCCGGCUAACUACGUGCCAGCAGCCGCGGUAAUACGUAGGGGACAAGCGUUAUCCGGAUUUACUGGGUGUAAAGGGAGCGUAGGCGGAAGCGCAAGUCAGAAGUGAAAUCCCGCGGCUCAACUGCGGGCGUGCUUUUGAAACUGUGAUUCUAGAGUACUGGAGGGGCAAGCGGAAUUCCUGGUGUAGCGGUGAAAUGCGUAGAUAUCAGGAAGAACACCGGAGGCGAAGGCGGCUUGCUGGACAGAGACUGACGCUGAGGCUCGAAGGCGUGGGGAGCAAACA